rnacentral:rRNA from 1 species
CCUACGGGGGGCUGCAGUGGGGAAUAUUGGACAAUGGGGGCAACCCUGAUCCAGCCAUGCCGCGUGUGUGAAGAAGGCCCUCGGGUUGUAAAUCACUUUCAGUGAGGAAGAACGCCUGGUGGUUAAUACCCAUCAGGAAAGACAUCACUCACAGAAGAAGCACCGGCUAACUCCGUGCCAGCAGCCGCGGUAAUACGGAGGGUGCGAGCGUUAAUCGGAAUUACUGGGCGUAAAGCGCGCUUAGGUGGCUUGAUAAGCCGGUUGUGAAAGCCCCGGGCUCAACCUGGGAACGGCAUCCGGAACUGUCAAGCUAGAGUGAAGGAGAGGAAGGUAGAAUUCCCGGUGUAGCGGUGAAAUGCGUAGAGAUCGGGAGGAAUACCAGUGGCGAAGGCGGCCUUCUGGACUGACACUGACACUGAGGUGCGAAAGCGUGGGUAGCAAACAGGAUUAGAUACCCUUGUAGUA